GGGCCUGUGGCUCAGUGGUAGAGCAUCUGCUUUGCACACAGAAGGUGCCAGGUUCAAUCCCUGGCUUGUCCA